UUUUGUUUUGUUUUGUUUUGUUUUGUUUUCAUACAAAACUCCCAGUGUGCCAGAAGAUACUGGAAAGGUGUGAAAACCAAGUAAGGAUCUGCACAGGUUCUUCUUCAUCUCCAGUAGUACAUCUUCUCCCCAAACUAUCAAUUGUGAAAGAAUUUCAUGAAAUGUGCGCAAGAGGAAUAGGGAAUAGAGCAAUUGUUUGAAUGUGACAGAUAUAAAGGUGAAGAGAGAAAGAGCUUAUUUAACUUCCGCACUGAAAUAUGUGACUUGAGAAAAGAAAUGAGGAUUUAGGGGGCUUAGUUUAGAAAGAAGUUCUUUUUCUUACAACAAAAUUUGAUUAUUCAUAUUCAAAUUAGAAAGUUUUUGCCACAGUCAUUUCUUAAUCUUACAGACUAGUAGGAAAUAAUUUGGGUAACGUGAAAACAGAUAAUACGGACUAUAUAAACUGGCUAUCCACAAGCUGUGCGCACUCACCUUUAAAACCUUAUCAAGAGGUUUUGGAAGGUAUCGGCAGCAUCUAUAAACCACAGGGGGUGGUGUGGCAGUUGGGGCUGUGUGUGGCGCUGCCCUGAGUGGUGGCCAAAGGCUUUGGUGGGAAAGCAGGACCCUGCUGAGCCUCAACCUGGAUCAUCUGCCCAUGGGCAGUCAGGAACAAACUGCAGCUCUGAUAAAGCUGUCAAACUCUCACUGUUUAGUUCGCCUAGGUGUUCAGUGUCUCUUAAGACUUCAGUGUGUGUUUCUUGCAGAGGGACCAGGAGAUUGGGCUCUAAACUCUGUUGGAGGGAUGCUAGGUGGUUUUCAUUUUACAUAGGUUAAAUUAGGAUAUACCAGUUGUUCUUCGGACUUCUAUUCAAAAGUAAGUACAUUUAAAGGAAAAAAAAAAAAAAGUAGCAUUUAAAUAAAGGAGAGCAAUGAGCAUGUGUCCAGGGGCAGUGGCACCUCAGAUAAGUACAAAGGCAAGUCUAGCAGAGUGCUAGCAUGGAUAGCUGAUUUCUUCAUGUGUUAGUUUUGCCCAGUGCUUGGUAUUACCAGGAAUCCAGGAGAUGUUUAACCAGAGCCAGUAGAAUAAAAGAUAUAUUGGAAUAUAAUGCUGAUAGGUGUUCGGGAUCUCGUAUCCCCAAAUAUAUUGGGAAACAGUGACACCAAUCAGCACAUAACAGUAAACACAAAUCUAUUUGCCAUGUUCCAAUAGCAUAUAUAUUCAGUAAUAACAUAUAUGUCAGGACAGCUGGAUUGAUCUUUUCACCUGGAUUUAUGAACCUGUUAACAAGCUUUCCUAGUCUCUUUGAAGGAGGUUGGUAAAAACACCAUAAUUUAAUUGUACAGAUUUUGGCCUUAGCACUCUCAAUGAGAGGCUUUGUGGCUGGCUGAGGGUGUAGAGCCGUGUCCUUGAAAGCAGGUAUUGCAAAAAUAUGUAUGCCAUGAAUUAAAAUUGAGUGAGUUCGGGCAGCUAGUUUGUCUGCUCUCUGGUAACAAACUCUAUAGGGACAAAUAUUUGUAAAGAGUUAAAGUCAAACUCUGACGCAAAAGUACUCAGCGAAACAGAAACAUAUAUUUGCUACACAACUAUUUUUGCUCUCCCAGCCAAGGGCUGGAACCAGUCCCAAGCAUGACCCAUCAGAGCUGAGUAAGUCUCAGUCUGGAAAAUAAGUAUAUUUGUUUACAAACUGACUUGGUAGAUAAUUAAUUAUACAUGUACUUAUUGAAAUAAUUGGUAAAUUAAACAUUUGUGUGGAUGUUUGGAGGAUGGUGCUUACAACUACAAUUUAAAGAGCAAAAUAAUUCUUUCUGGAAUGGUAGAAGAAGAAAUACGUUUGAGGAAAUUGCAAUUGGUCUCAGAUAUCCUGCAAAUUAAAAGAGACUGGAUGCAUCCAUCACUGGAUGCAUUAUUCGUUGAGAAUGAGUUGUUCCAGCUCCAGGUGUGGAUGAAAGACUGAAUUUAAACUGAUGGAAAAUUACACAGAGCCAUAACUGUGAGGUUUAAAAUUCAAGUAGGUGAAAGCUCAGAAAAUGAAAAAAAAAAAAAGUUAUUUCCACAUGGCUGAAUUGAGAUAACAGCCCAGGAUGAGUUCACUUUGAUUCAGCCUUGGUCUGAGCAGGUAAUUGCUUGGAGGGAAUGAAAAAGCCAAAUUUUCAGAGUGCACAGGAAGAAAGAGGAGACAAAAGGAUAACGUUAGCAGCACAGCUUCAGACUUGAGAAAAUAUUUUGGAGUUAAGGGAGCUAAGUUGUGGUGGAAGCUUUGGGCAAGGCCUCUUCUGCCUGAUUUUUCAUCAGUUUUCCAUUUCCAGGAAUUUAAAGACAGAAGUCAGGAAAUGGGAUGUUAGCUAACAUCUAUAACCAAAGCUUGCGAGUUUUUGUUGUUGUUUUGUUUUUGUCAAAGUUAGUGAGCUUUAAAAGUACACUUCAAAGAAGAUUUUACUAACUUGCGUGUUUUCCACCUGGAUCCCGAAAUCAGACUGGCAGGGAGAGAUGAUAUCUGCAGCAGUAAAGCAGGAAACAGUAGCUGCUGUAGCCCACGUGGAACACACAUCCCAGAAAAUAAGUCUUUUCAGGGCUCAGAUUUGAAUAUGUAUUUACAAUGUCCUUUUCAAAGGAAAGGGACGUUAUUAAUCUUCAUCGCUUUCCAGGAAAAAGGAAGUUUGCUGAGUGAUGGUUCACUGCAGAUAGUUUGAACAGCUGUACAGACUGCUCCUUCUCUUCCCUUCCUUUAGGGUAUGAUUUCUUCCUUCAUCUCUUUCUAAGUCUCCAACCCUAUAAUGUUCUUCGCUGAAACUGUGCCACCUCUUCUGCACUGAUCACUCCCUAUUACACCUUGAUGCCUACCUGCGCUAAAAACGUCAAUUAAAUUCCUUCCUCUGCUAAUGAGUCCGUAUGCAAAGCUAUUUAGAGGUGUAAGCCUUUCCUUGAGCACCUUUGCCUCACAUUCUUUUCACUUAAACCCUUACAAAAUUACAGAGCUCCUUCCUCCUCGAUCAUGUGUUUCACCUACUUUUUAUUCUCGCUUUCAGAAAGCUCGGAUCCCUUCCUCCCCAGUUCAUGGCGUUGCUCACUGCGUAUGCUUUACUUUCAGUCUCUGUGAGACGAUGCCUCACUGCUCCAGCAAGCCGUAUUUAGGAGAGAUUUAUUGCAAACUAACCACAGCCCCUAUGUUUAUUUAAGUUGCUGUUGUGUUUGGUCUCCAUCAAGUCAGAGCAAGUGGCUGCUUUCCUGCUUCUCACUUACAUGCUUGUGUAAAACGUCGUUUUGAGUAGGUAUUGUAAAACAUUGCAGGGCGAAGAUAAUCCAUUUGGGUAGGUCUGAAACAAGGGGCUCGUCUCCCUGGCCAUAAGGAAGACUCUCACACAGGCUGUGGGAAUGACUGCUAUGGUCAGGCUAGAUGCUCAACGAGAGGUUUUGUACCCUGGUUAAGUGCCUGACAGGAAAGCUCACGCUGACACUACAGCAUAACUCGGUUUACAGUGAAGUCUGGUGGGAAUGCCGUCAAUUUUUGUCCAGCCGGCACUCACAGAUCUUCCAUUUCUUGCAUGCUAGAAGCUACCCUGCUGCAGGCAACCAUGUAUUGAUAAGAGCUGUAUAAACUCAUGUCCCGAUGCGUUACGGGGAGCCUGGAUCGACGCCACCCCUGGGGGCAGCUUUGAUACGGGGCGUGGGUCCCCUACAUGGACAAGGGGCAAUUUGGGAGCCUUUCCUUGGAGCCAGGAUGCAGCUGGAGGAAGGCAACCCCUUCACCUACUUACCCAUUUUUGGGGCAGGGGAGGGAGGGAUGAUGCUGUGGGGUUGUGAAUCACUCACAUGUCCGGCUGGUCCAGCAGAGGGUGCUUUGACACAGAGGAGCCUCAUGUGUGCGGUUCCUGGCACCCAGGUGCAAGUGCUCCUGCAUCAGAAAACAGCAGGCUGACCAGAAUUCGCUUCCAGCAGUUAGCAAAUAAACACGGUGGUGGGUUUAUUAGAGCAAAUUUGUGAUGCAGGAGGCUUUUGGCAUUUCUUGUUUGUGCCUGGACCAGGCAUCUCAAGGCGGCAGGUGCAGAAUUGUUGUGUUGGAUAACAAAAUGUUCCCUCUUUGCCUCUCCACCUUCCCAAUCAUAAGAUGUUUCAGUAAGUGCUAAAAAAUACGCUCACCCUGAAGUAUAGCGCCAGGGAUAUGAUCUUGGAGGAAUUAUUAAUCUAAAACCUCGAAAGGUUUUCAAAUUGAAUUUACAAGACACCUGGAACUGACCCCCUGUAACACAGAAUAAGCUUUAUUUAUUACUUUGAAAUGUCUUGUUUGAUUUUUAAACCAGUGGUCUGCAUGUAGAAAAUUAAAGCUCUAUGAAAUGAAAUUUGGUCACUUGUGCAAACAGGGCCUUGAAGAUGAAGAGAAGCUUAUGACCAUGCUUUCGACUGCUCAAACUCCGCUCCUUGCAGCCAGUCCCACUGUGUAAGCAUGUUGCCUUUUCAGGUUUCAUUUAUACAUCCCAAAAAUGUGUCAGACUUGUAAAUGCUAAAGUGUGCACUCUAGAACAAUUCCUUGCUCCUCCUCUGCUCAGCCUGCCUCUGGGCAGAGCCGUGGGCAAGCUCUCCCCUGGUCAUGACCAGGCUUUAGAAAAUAGACAUUAAAAAAAAAAAUAAUAAAAUAAAUAAAGAAAAGCCAAGCUGUUUUAUUUCAUGCAGAGGUAGAUCUGAAUCAUGACCAAAAAUGUCUAUUUUCAGGUAUUUCUAGCGUGAUUGAAGGUUACGUACAGGCCAGUUUAGAUGCAGAGUGGGAAAUGAUGGCCAAUUUAAGAAGGGUUCUGUGGCAGGGAGACACUGCUUAUUGAAAUCCAGAUAGGACUCCCACCGGCUUUGCGUGCCCCUGUGCAAUGUGUAUUUUAAUCUCCUGCUGCUCGCAAACCAUUCAUUUUCUAUGAUUUUUAUAUGCUGCUGCAUAUACAACUGUAAGUAUUCUAGGCAGGCUCAGCUUAACAUCCUAGUUGUGCUAAUAUUUUUGUACUUAUUGUUUGAGGUACUUGUUUUUCCUUGCUAUAAAUGUUUUUUUCAUUUGAACUGGUUUGCAACCUGCAUAUUUCUUUGUUCUGCCUCUUCUGAUGUUGUCAAAUAGCAUUCAACAAGGGGUAACAGCAAAGCGUGCCAGUCAUGCCCCUCUGCAGACACGUGCACUGGUCCUUGCUUGGGAGGGAAGGAUCCAGGAUUGCUCCCUCAUUCAGAAAAACAAAACAAAACAAAACAAAAAUUAAUCUUGCUAAAAUUCCUUAUAUCAUUUACAUCAUUGUUUUAAACACGCUGCAAAAAGAGAGGAAUCGCUUCCAGUGAAGCCACUGGGUCAGUCCCAGGACUCAGCAUUAGCUCUGGAAAACACAAAAUACAGAAUCCCCACGCGCACCUCCUGGGAACCCUGCUGGCAAUUUCCCACUGCUUCAGACGGAGAAGGGAAGAGACCUCAUGGUUGCUCCAGGGCCGGUUCUGGGCAAAGCCUGCGGUGCCUCCUCACACAGCUCUCCCCCAUUCUCUCCAGUCUGCAGGCAUCUUUCUUGAUCCCAGGGGACCAGGAUCCCUCAGGAUUCGCCCCAUUUCCUAAGGGCUGCUCUGUCCCUCAGGGCUGCUUGCCUGCUGCGAAGUUUCUUCAAAGACAAAGUUUCACAGCAGUACGCAGUGUUAAUCUAUGAAAUAUCAAGAAGUUUUGCUUGAAUGUUAAAAACUUCUCAGAGGAAAAGUGUCUCUGGGCAUUUAAUCCCUAGGGGAUGGGAGGAAACUGGCCUAGGAGUCUCUCUGCUCUCAUGUACCUUUCUGAGUCUUCUCAGGGGGGUGCUGUCAUCCAUCCUGUUUAGUGCCUGUAACAUCGUCCUGCUGCUGAGAUUUCUUUGGUAUCCUCACCACGUUACACGGGACAGCCUCACUGGGCAGACCCCUCGUUGUUUGGCUCAGGUUUGGGUCACAUUUCUGCAGCAGCACCGUGCGCCUCGCUCACACUGAUCUCCGGGGGUAGCCGGGAAGCAUCAGGUAGGAUUUGAUUCAUGGUAGUGUAAGGGAGGAGUGCAGCAUUGCACCGUGUGGCAUCCAUCGCUUUUCAAUUUUAGCAGGGUAAAACCAGCACUAACCCUCUCAGAAUGCCUGCUGGCCUCCUCUUUAGGGCUACAUACCCGGGUGAUUAAAGAAAGCCACAGAGACAUUCACUUUCUUCUGAUGAUUGUACCCGUAUCUCUCUGAUGUCCUCAUUUGCAGUCCCUGCCUUGCUCCCACCUGAUCUUAGCUCUUGCCUAGAGAGCAGGAAUCUGGGGGACUGGGAGGGUUUUCCCCUUAUUAGCCUGUCUGAAAGGGCUGUCAAGCAGGUAUCUUUCCUCUGGCAGCUCUGCAGCUUUUGGCAGCCAGGCACUCUCCCAGGCAUUUUCUCUCCCGUUUUGCCCAUUCCCUUGUUGAGCACUCAGCUCACGGCCUGCAGCUGCCACGCUGCCCUGUGGAAACACGCUCCGAAUUACGCCUCAUCCACGCCCUCCACACUGCAGGUUCAUUGCAACACGGAGCUGCUGCUGCAAACUUGCUUUUUUAUUUUUUUAUUUUUUUUCUCCUUCAAAUUCUGUCCAGAAAACCUCAGUUAGGGUUAUCUGUUCGUGCCAUUUGAUCUCGGAGUACAAGCUAAAUGUCUCCAGUGAGCCCGUGGGUCACACAGCAAGGGUUGUUUAUUUUGGUUUCUGUGCUCAGAAAGGAAAACCAGUACUUAUCACUGAGAAUCUCGUGCAGGAAAAGGGCUCUUUCCCAUGGCUUCUCCAAAAAAGUAUUUAGCAUUUAACUUAGAGGUUGUUUUUAAAAAUUGUCGUUGUGUUUUAGAAGCUGGGUCUCGCGGAAACUGUUUAGGCAUCUCAGCACCUCAUCUCCUCCCAGACAGAAAGGAAGGAAGAAGAGGAACACAAGAGGAAUCCAUUGCUUGCUCCCCACUGAGUAUCUGCAUGCCUCCUUCCACCAGUGCUCACCUUCCACGAACACCCCUUUGGACACCUGCAAGCUCCUGCAGAUGCAAACACACGACAGUCCCUGUCCUGGGCCCGGGGAAGUGGUGUUCCCUCUCUUCUGCGACUGUGAGGAGACAGAAUAUGAAAUGACAGCAGGGCAGGCAAAUUACAAAUCCUUUGAUACCUGCUUCAGAGGUUUGUGCCCUGCUUUUCUUGGUCUCCUCUCGCAGGACGGCCUGGGCGAGGUAUUCAUUUCCCCUGCAGUAGCAGCCCCGGCCCUCCUGGCUCCUCCAAAAUAACCACCCUGGGAGAGCGUGGCUGCAGCACUGACGUCCUUGCCUUCCAAGUUGUGAUAGCAAAACCCCAGGCGGGUUUGGGAUGGUGGUUGUUUUCCUUUAUUUUAUAAACAAAUAUCCUUUUUUAAAAAUUGCUUUAUUUGAAUCCUGAUGCCUCAGGAGUGGGAAAAGGAGUUAGCACAAGAACAAGGUAAAGCUUCCAUUAAAGUUCGAGCCCAGAAAGCUGAAAACACAGUAACUUGAGAUCUCGAUUUGGGAUGAAAGCUGUGAUCUUUUUUUUUCUUUUCCCUAAAUGUCAGAUUCCAGAAAGUUUUUAGGGAAAAAAUAAUAAUCUUUUUUUCUGUGGUUUCCAGGUCUAGCAGGCAGAAGGAAGCUAAAUAACCCUUCAUUCAGCAAAGCACCAUGUCUGGAGAGAGGGGGCAGCCAGGUGCAAUCCAGACACAGGACACUGCAGAGCCCUCUCCCCUUUCUGAACGUGCAGGCAGCAGCAUCCCAAGUGCCUUCACCUCUCUCACCCCCUUUUUGGGAGGGUUGGCAGCAACCAAGAAAGGCAGGUCAGCGAAAAGCCUGAACGUGGGCUGAGCAUCCGUGGCCGUUUUGUGCUGCAGAGCGGAGGCUGCAAACUCUCCCACCAUCCAGGAGCGAUUCCUCGAGGCAUCUCUUGUGCGUGUCUGCCGGGUGACCUCCACAUGGAGCGAGGACAGCUGCCUUUGAGCGAAACCUGAGUGAGGUAACGAGCAGCAGGAGCUCUGCUAGAAGAGGAAUCGUGCUUGGAGGAUGAGAUCACACAAGCCCAGUAAUUACGUACUACCCUCUAAUUAGGACAUCGAGAUUUGCAUUUUGUGGCUUUGAAAACAAGUUUAAGAAGUGCUAAAGUAGUAGUUUCUCCAAAGUUUAGGAUUCAUAAAGUGGUCCUGCUGGUGAAAUAUACAUAUAUGGAACAGAUCGUCUCUCGUUUAACCAUUUACAUGACCGAUGAAGAGAUCAGCUGUAGUUAAAAUGCCAACACAUUUUCCUUUGGGUCUGUCUAUGUAUUGGCUUUAGAAGUUUUCCAUGUUGGUAAUAACUACAACAAUAUCUGACUCACGCUGCAACUGAGGAAGAUGCUUAAAGAAAGAACAGAUGAGUCACUCUUUAAUGAAUACUGCUCCUUAAAGUUUUAUAACUUAACUCGACUUCAUCGUUUUAAUUGUUCCUCCCUCUACAGAGGUAGAAACGUUGUAAGGUAUACAUUGCUUAACAGUGUAAACAGUCUGCGUGAAUUCAAGGAAGACUGCUUGUACUCUGGUGCAAUUUAUGACUGCUGCCACGGACAGGAAUAGAUCCAGGCGAGCGCGCCUUGCAACAGCUCAGCCAAGCGGCAACGGGACUGGAAGUUUCACACUCGAAGCCCUUGUAAAGAGUUAUGGAAGUCAGUGAAUAAUACCACUGUACAGUUUUGAACAAGUGAAGGCUUGUUCUGCAUCUAAAUGGAGAAUGCCAACAAAAAGAGGAAAUGCAGUACCUCUGUGAACGGUGAAUUAUAACAGCGUGAUCUGAACAGGCAACACCACGCUCUGCAAUUUCACUCUUCCCAGAGGCUCCACAUGGCUUUGUCCAGGUAGGAUGCGGGGAACCUGAGUGCAGGUUUUGUUUCUUACGGGAGAUGCAGAGAUUGGGAUUUCCUAAGUGUAAGUGUAAAUAACCAGGACAUCCAAGCACUGCCUGAGCUACACUCAGUUCAUACAGAUUCACACACAAAAACACAAAGAAAAGGCAGAUAAUGCUUCUGCUUGGCAUGGGAAAAUAUGAACUGGGCAGAGGUUUGCUGGGAAGCGACAGGCAGCGUAGCCACGGUGUGGUCCCAUUGCCAGGGAACGGCUCCUCUUCCUCGGCAGCUGGGCCUGAUGGCAGCACGGAGAUCUGGAUGGGUGUUACAGAUCAAUA